UGUCUUCAACAUUGGUUUUGUGUCUGUCGUACCUGUAAAGACAUGGGGUAUUUGUUCAGCUCUGAAUGGGAGAGAGAAAGAGAGCCGAGGGAGGGAGAGAGAACAUCAGGAGAGAAAGAGAGACAGAGCAGCAGGAUUUUGGAGACUGAGGCCAGACAAAUCAGUCUCGACAAGUGCAGUUGAGACUAAACAACUGCAUCUGAGAAAAUGCUUGUCAUGCUGUGGUGAAGCUGUGUACACUAGCCAACAGGGGAAAGACAAAGAGGAAGAUGUGAGAUCAAAGGACUUUUUGUCAUUCUAUAACAUUCUCCCAUCUGUAGAGAGCAGUUCAGUAGUAUCAUAACACAAACUGUCCCCCAAACAGUAAUGUCAAUUUAAUAUCAUUAAAUCCCAGAGCAAAUGAAAGGAAAUCACAAUGCCAUUCCUUCAUUAAAAAUAUAAGAUAGCUGUAAGGUUAGGGCUUCCUCCACACAAAGGACACAUUGAGCAUCAUGCUUUUAAUUCCACAUUCCAGCUCCAAGAUUGGACCAUUGGUACAUUACAAUGACCCACAAUAUUGCAGUCCUUUAGUUAGCAGAGGCACAUGCACACACAUCUUUCAUAUAUGUUGAGUUUAGCUUCAUUCACUAACACAAUACUACAAUUUUGCUGUCAGUAAUGUGUUCUAUUGAUAAAUCUUACCUGACUUACACUGACAAAUCACCAAUCAAUACUGAUGUUAUGUUGGUUGCCCUAAGCUGUUUGUGGCAUUAUGGACUUUGAGUUUAUGAAAUAGCUGCAGGAACGACACCCCGACACAGUUUUGUAUGUUUGAUGUACCUGAGAACCUGAUAGAGAACUACAGAAGGUAACAAUCUGACUUUAGUGUGAUUAUCUUACUUACAUUCCCCCCAGAUCCUGAAUUAACUGAUGGCAAUGACGACCGUAGCAACACUCGGUCUGUCAAGGAACACAGUUAACAACAGUUACCUACACUCACACUUACACACUCACACACACACACACACCAACCCAGUCUCCUGUUUUAUAGAAUGUACAUCUUACUUCCCGUCAACUCUACAGCAACGUUACCUUUCCCUCCAAAAGUGAUCACCUUUUUGUAGAAAACUAGUGGUAACCAGCUAGGCUAACUGACUGCCUAGACAAUGAGGUAAUUAUUAAGAUGAUCAAAAAUGCUAAGACACUAAAGGUGAUCACUAAGGUUGAACGCAAAGAUAAUAUUACUGUAGAGUUGACUGUAAACAUGACAGAAAACUCUUCAGAUGCAACGUCAGCACUCAUAUAAGAUGGUUCCAGAUAAUUAUUGCUCUUUUUGUUAAUUGAUUGUUAAUAAAUUAUUUGGGCCUAUCAAUAUAUUGACAACACGUCUCAGCACUUGUUGAAAUUAGCGGAAUGUCAGAAAAUUACAUUAUUUUUAUGUGGUAUAUUGCACAACCAUGGUUUUUACUGUGGUGAAAAACACAGAGUAAGCAAGUUGGCAGAGUUGCAAAUAGACUUUCACACUGUGUGGAAAUGGUAGGGAACUGAUGUCUGGAAUUGUGCUGUUAAGGAGUAAACACUGACUUCUGUAGUCCUUCAAGGUCAGUGGACAGUUGGAUUUUGGAUCUGAUGUCACUCACCUGGGCAGGGUCACAAAGGUGGACUGCUGGCACCACAGUCACACCAUUCUGUCUCCUGAACAACAGCACAGAGACAGCAUGGUGGCCAUUAUAUACUGUACAGGUUAGCACCACAACAUACAAACACAGACAGUGUGUGUUUGUGACUGAAGUGUGUGUGCAUGUGUGAUGAUGGUCUUAUGAAGUCCUCCUCUCUGGUAGACCUGGCUUCUUCCCUGCAUAAUAAAGCAACAAUGUGUAUAAAAAUACAGCUGCCUGUAAAGGUCAUGACAAAGGCACAAAUGGACCUGAUGAAUUCCACAUCUCAGUGACAUAACAAACCAACUACAGUAGGUCAAACUACAGCUAAGUACAUGUGAAGAGCUUAUUUUAAUUAAUUUUAAUUAAAUUUAGGAAAAAAUAUACAAAACACAAUCUGUUGAAGUGGCAACAGAUGUUUCAGGCAGAUAUCACAAAACAUCAGCUCAUAUAACAAAUUAAAAUAAGGGAUAAAUAUGUUUUGUUUAUGUUUGUUUUUUUCUUACUUCUCACUGAGCCAUUAAAAAUAAACAGGGAUAAUAUGAAGAGGUUGUCAAAUUCAAUUAAACAAUUCAAUUGUUACUAGUAUUUUGUAGUUAUGCAACCAGAGGUUAAAGUAAUGGAGACAGGAAAUGGGAGGAAGGUGUUCUGCUGUUGGUGUAAACAGUAUGGUGUAAAAGUAAUGAUGUAUUGUGUGAGGAAACUAUAACUGUGGUCAGCUGUGGGAUUUUUCUCCUGCUCUGUGUUUUUCUGUGCGGUUUUAUCUCUUGCAGGUCCUGGUGUUUUGCAUCCUGAACUCCAGGCACCUGCGGCCUUUCAUGUGACACCUGUAGCUUCUUCCCACACUGGCAGCGGCUUCCUGGAGCAGCGGGGACAAACUCUUAAACUGAUCUAGGGUGGUUGUCAGGAACCAACAGCGACGGUUUGAUAGACAGAGGAGAAAUUAUCAGCAUGAGGUGAAACAACAAUAAUCAGCUGCAUCACUCUCUGGCUGUGAUCUGGAAACUUUGGUGCCUGGACAGAGAGGGCCCUUUUGAACAAAGAGAGGGCCUGGAGUUUAUGGCGAAGACAGAGAAGUGACAUCUCACAAUGUCUGUGAAGAAAAAGUGCUACUUAAGUUUGGACAGUGACUGUGUGUGUGUUUUAAUGUGUGUGUAUGUGUUUGGCUGAUGUACCUGAUAAGUUCAGCCUCAGGCACUGAACUCCACAUCUCCUCUUGGCAGCUCACAUGUCUGAUGAAGUCCAUCACUGUGAGCGGGCUCAGGAGGCUAGGGUUUAUAUAACAGAUUGCUUCUGCUUUUGGAAACCUGACACACAAACACAACACAUCAAAACGCACAUCACCAUCAGACACUCAAACGGGAGCUCAUUUUGUAUUAUUCGUUAGCAAUAAUAAUAAAAAACUAAACUAA